rnacentral:lncRNA from 1 species
ACCAUUCAUUCAUUCAACAUUUGACAGUAAGAAAAAGUAUAAUACAAGACAAAACAUUGAUAAUCGGACCAAAAGAGUAUAAUCACAUACAUAUCAAAAGACAAAAGCACCUAAACUACAAUCAACCAUUCUCCCCCAUCAAUCACCUAAUCACUACUACUCGCGUCAACAUACUUGCGAUCCAGAUCCAAAGCUUCCAACUUUUCCUUCAGUACACCAAUGUCAACCUCGUUCCCCUCUAGGAGCUUAAGGAGUGGAUACUUAUAAGUUAUCAUAUCGGAAAAACAAUCGAGAAUCCGACUUUGGGCACCAGGAUAGGAAUAGAUGAAAUGCUUCCCUUCCAACUCCCCGGGUUACUUCUCCUUCAUUUCAAUACAAUCCUACUGUAAUCCCAUUUGAAUGGCUGCAGUUUGAAGAGAAAUGUUCAUGUCACCAAAAUCUACCGAAUUAAUAAAGCUUGAAAAAAGAAAGGAAUGUCUUCCCUUCAAACCCACCGCAACUCAGACACAUUUUUUUUGACAGAGCCUGAUUGAUAAAACAUCUUGCUUCACCGAGGUAUAAAGUUCAUCCAAGGAUGUAAUUUGAGAGUUCUUCUCAGAUAUGGUGGCCUUAUGAAUAACAAGUUCCUCCUCAAGAAAUUUAAUGCACACAUCCUUGUAUGAGCAAGCAAUCUCCAACAGAGACACUUUUACGGUAAAGUGAAGCUUCAAUUACUCAAAUUGCUAAGACUUAUCCUCAAAUUCCUUACUCAUCUCCAAGUACCUAUUCCUCUCCGACAAGCCUGAUGCCUCCUCCCGAAAAUUUCCUGCCUCCUCUUCUAGGCAUUCAUGGUUGGUGCGCAUACCCUUAGGGCGCGUUUUCUGUGGAUGAAUAAGGGAAGGAAAGGAAAGAGGUAUUGAAGGGUAAUGAAAAAAGACACACUUG